rnacentral:rRNA from 1 species
ACUCCUACGGGAGGCAGCAGUAGGGAAUCUUCCACAAUGGGCGAAAGCCUGAUGGAGCAACGCCGCGUGGGUGAAGAAGGUCUUCGGAUCGUAAAACCCUACGUUGUUAGAGAAGAAAGUGCGUGAGAGUAACUGUUCACGUUUCGACGGUAUCUAACCAGAAAGCCACGGCUAACUACGUGCCAGCAGCCGCGGUAAUACGUAGGUGGCAAGCGUUAUCCGGAUUUAUUGGGCGUAAAGGGAACGCAGGCGGUCUUUAAGUCUGAUGUGAAAGCCUUCGGCUUAACCGGAGUAGUGCAUUGGAAACUGGGAGACUUGAGUGCAGAAGAGGAGAGU